GACGAACGCUGGCGGCGCGCUUAACACAUGCAAGUCGUGCGGUGUCGAAGGCAAGUCUUACGACAAGCCUUCGACACAGCGGCGAACGGGUGAGUAACACGUGAGUAGCUGUCCUAAGGAGGGGGAUAACGCCUGGAAACGGGUGCUAACACCCCAUAUGCCUCGCAAGAGGUGAAAGUGUACUUGCUACAGCCUUAGGGUGUGCUCGCGGCCUAUCAGCUAGUUGGUGAGGUAACGGCUCACCAAGGCCAAGAACGGGUAGCCGGCCUGAGAGGGUGUACGGCCACACUGGAAUUGAGAUACGGUCCAGACUCCUACGGGAGGCAGCAGUGGGGAAUCUUGGGCAAUGGGCGAAAGCCUGACCCAGCGACGCCGCGUUGGGGAUGAAGCCCUUCGGGGCGUAAACCCAUCGUUGUAGGGGACGAAGAAAGUGACGGGUACCCUACGAGAAAGCCCCGGCCAACUACGUG
rnacentral:rRNA from 1 species